AACGAACGCUGGCGGCAGGCCUUACACAUGCAAGUCGAACGGGACCUUCGGGUCUAGUGGCGGACGGGUGAGUAACGCGUGGGAACGUGCCCUUUGGUUCGGAAUAGCCCCGGGAAACUGGGAGUAAUACCGGAUAAGCCCUACGGGGGAAAGAUUUAUCGGCAAAGGAUCGGCCCGCGUUGGAUUAGGUAGUUGGUGGGGGAAUGGCCUACCAAGCCGACGAUCCAUAGCUGGUUUGAGAGGAUGAUCAGCCACACUGGGACUGAGACACGGGCCAGACUCCUACGGGAGGCAGCAGUGGGGAAUCUUAGACAAUGGGGGAAACCCUGAUCUAGCCAUGCCGCGUGAUCGAUGAAGGCCUUAGGGUUGUAAAGAUCUUUCAGUGGGGAAGAUAAUGACUGUACCCACAGAAGAAGCCCCGGCUAACUCCGUGCCAGCAGCCGCGGUAA
rnacentral:rRNA from 1 species